AACUAAAAUGAAAAGGGAACGAAGAAUAGUAUUUUUUAUAUAAUAAAUUACUGUAUUUCUAGACAAAUUACCAUGCAAGUAUUACACAAUUUAUUCUUUUUUUUUUUUUAGACAAUUAUUUAUAUUUCUUCUAUUCUAAUAGACAGUCUGACAAUAAAAAUGCUUUUGCUGUCUGUCUCUAAUGUGAUGGUAACGGAAGUAACCUUUUAUUGUGUCCGAAUGUUCGAGUCUGAAAAAUUACGUAAAAUCAGCGGAGUUGUGUGACGUAACGAAGAAACGUAGAACAAAACGAAUGUCACGAAAUUUACCCUUUAACAAUGAAUCAUCUUUUAUAUUUUUUUCUUUUCUUUCGCUCGUUAGGCCACAGUAUUUCCGGUGAGUAUCAAACAUUCUUUAAUUUCCACUUCGUGUUGACAAAUAGAAUCCUUUUGAUUUCGAUCUCCGAGCCAAAGAUCUCAUACAGGAACAAUCAAGGAAGGUCGAAGAAGAAAAGGCUAUUUCCUUGGCAAGCAAUUGAUCAUAUCUCGAAUGAGAUUUCUACGAUCGAAACAAUAAUUAGUAGUUUGCAAAUCGAUUAUGAUUCGAACUUGUGAAUUGCGGAUUCAUUCGUAUUAUUUGAUGUACGAUUGAUAUUUAUGUUAUAUUGUCAUUGAUUCCAAUGAAAUAGAUCUAUCAUUUUCAAUUUCUAUAUUAAAAUUAAUGUAAUAGGAACUAAUUUAAUGACUCGAUGCAUUUUUCUAUUCUCCACAUGCAACGGCAUUGGAAUUCAGACAAUUGCAUCUUCUUUCCGCAUCUUGGAAUGUUUGCAUGGUAAUAUUCGUAACGGAACACGUGGUUGUUAAAAAGCGUCUCAUGAAGCAGAGUCAACAACCAAAAACGGCGUACAAAGGACGAGGAAAGAAGCGGUUGAACCUUUUAUCAACUCCAGAUCGUUGUCCAUGAACUCCAGAGUGCUGUUUCUUAUGAAAAAGAAACCUGUUAGUCUAUUUACUUCUGAAAUUUCCUUCUCUUCGAGUUUUAUAAUCGGAAAAUAUCAGAGAAAUUUCUAAGUCCGAGUAAUUGUUGCGAUGCAUCCACGAGACGUGAUAGAAAUUAAGAAGAAAAAAGACGAAGGAGGAUUGCGUGUACCAUUUGCGUAAAUUUCGCAACGAUGCUAUUACACCGUCUCGUGUUGCAAAAAGAAUCUUAAAAGGAGAAGAAAUUGUCCAUUUACGAAAAAUGCAAAUAUUCUUUGCAAAAAAUUUAUA